UGAGCCAGGCCUGCGCCUCAUCACGUGUCACCGACCCUGGGCUCUGUGACCUCCAAAGACUCGCCACCGCACUCCACAGUUUGAGGUGCAACCCAAGCCAGGAGCCCAGGGGAGUCUCUCACACCCCAUUCUCCUAGGGCUCAUGUACCCCAGGCCCACCUCCACCCCAGGAGCCGAAGGCCGACAGGGACCCUGGAGAGCCUCCCUGAUGGGAGAAUUGCGGAGCUUGCCCCUCGGAAAAGUGCAUGGGGUGGAGCACAGGGAAGGAGGAAUAAACAACUGGCUAUCCGCAGCCCCACGGCAGUGUCCCCUUGGCCGGUGGGAGAGGCUCCUGGCCGCUCUGAAUCCUUGAAAUGCGUUCCACCACUGUCUCUUGGAGUGCUCAGGGGGGUGGACCCUUUGCCAGCCCUCACUCUUUCUACAAGGAUCCUGUCCCAGGUCACAGGCUCCUAGACUGGAAGGUGCUGGGCCUGGACCUCUGCCACUCAGUGGACACAGCGAUAAGAGAUGAAUGGACACAGAGGACAAAGAAGAAACAUUUGGCUUCAUGGAACCAGACUCUGUGUCCUCCCAGGUGCUGAAGGAACAGGUUGCAGCUGCCUGGUACCCCCACCCGGGCCCUGCUAGAGAAAGGCUGGAACAUCCACCUCUGCAGACUGGUCCCCCACCAGGCUCCUUCCUCCCACCCUUCAGCCCCAGGCUCUCUGAGCUCCUGCUCCUCCCUGCCUUGCCUUGUUUGCCGAGGGCGCAGACAGUGGAGAGAGCACAGGACUGGGAGUCCGGAGACCUGGGCUCUAGUCUACUCUGUGACUUGCGUCAAGUCUCUGGCCCUUUGUGGGCCUAAGUUGCCCCGUUUGCAGUGAAUAGGUUGCAGUCAAUUAUCUCCGGCCGUUUUUAUGGAUCCUGAACCGUGGUCUUGGGCACCCUGCUUUAUUAGGCUUUUUGGUGGUUGUGCAUCUUGUAAGGGUGUGUAUGCGUGCGCGCAUGCGCUUGUCCUCUCAGACCUGAGUUCUUAAAGGGAAAGAGACUGGGGCCUACACAGAGGCAGGCAUGUAUUUUCCGCAGACCAGAGUUUGACAAGAAUGACUGGACACCAGGAGAGUGCAGCCCAGUCCCAGCUCUGUGCUGAAUUCAGAGCAGCCUUGGACAAGUCCCUCAGCAUCUACAAAAUGGAGAUUAAUAAUACCUGUUUUGCCUUUCCAAGGCUAUUCGGGGGAUUCAAUGAGAUAUUAGAAAUGAAGCUUUUUGAAGGGGAAUAGCACAGGGAUAUGUACUUUUGAUGCCACCUUUUGAUGCCUGGGCCAGUGAUGGGUUUGGGGUAAGAAUAGGGUGUGAAGAGUUCUCUGGGGGCAAAGGCUGGCACUGGCCUGACUGCCCACCCUGCCGAAGCUGCAGCAUGCACAGCACAGGCAGGCACCCCACCACCAGCAGAGCAGCCAAGGUGAGCAGAGAUGCCUGGUGCCCCACCUGGACUCCUGUAGGCAUCUGUGUGUGCACCUUGAAGAAACUAAAGAGGGAAGGCACAGAGGCUCCCAACCUAAAUGGAGGUGGUCAGUGGAUUACCAGCGAAUCGAUCUGCACGUCUUGGCCAAAAACACUCUCCUCUGCUCUUAGGGAGCUUAAAGUCUGACUGAAUGAUUGAACCUGAACCCUUUGGAGAACAAUGUGGAGCCAGGAAAGGGAAUUGUGAAUGGGGCGCCAUAUCAGACAUCACUUUUCUAUGUGUUCUUCACCCAUCCCCACUGGCCGUCUACUCCUCAGGCGCUCACCAGCUCCUCCCAGGUGGGCCCAGAUGUCGUAUUUGUUUACAAGGCCUUGUUGGAUAGUCGAAACGGUACUACGGAAACCAUCGCCCUCAGCUAAUAUGGUUUCUCCUUGUUGUCUACGCCCUUUCUCUUAAUGAGUGGAUGCUGCAGAUGCUGAGGCUGUCACCACUCAGGGAGGAACAGGAAGGAGGCAGCACCUUCUGGCCAGCUUCUGGGAUCUGCUCUCAGCCUGAAGCCACUGCCUCUCCUUUAGGGCUAAAGUCCUUUAAGGAUUGCUCCAAGCAAAACUUCCACCGCCCCGGCAAGCACAGAGACUCCUUCCCUGAUCCCAGCUCCCUCUCAACCCUGAGGUACCAGCAGUCUGCAAGCCCCACGCAAAACCUCUACUAGGCAGUCUCUUUCAAGAGUCACAAAAAUACUCAUCACUUUCAUCCAGCAGUCACACACCUGAGAAGGCAGUCCGUGGAAAGAAUCCUCAGAAGAUGAAAAAGCCCUUUGAACAAAGCAGCAACCUAAAUGCGCGACUCCAGAGCGCUGGUGAGCAACAGCAGGCUCAUGUUAAAAGCUAAUUGGGAAAACUGUGGCAACGUGGAGAAAUGCUGAUGAUAUGGUGUUCGGUGCAAAUUGCACUGGGCCGGAGCCCAGCUAUGAGAAAAUUGUGUGUGUAUGAAUGAGAGAUGGAGGGGAAUUGCAAAAAUAAAAAGAAAACCAAAUGCCCAUUUACUA